ensembl:rRNA 5S_rRNA 5S ribosomal RNA
GCCUACGACCAUAUCACCCUGAAUGCGCCCGAUCUCGUCUGAUCUCGGAAGCUAAGCAUGGUCGAGCCUGGUUAGUACUUGGAUUGGAGACUGCCUGGGAAUACCAGGUGUUGUAGGCU